rnacentral:tRNA from 1 species
UGCCCAAGAAUGGGAAUCGAACCCACAGUGUUCUGCUUACCGGGCAGAUGCUUUGUCCACUAGGCUAACCUCGAC